UACGAAGGGGGCUAGCGUUGUUCGGAUUUACUGGGCGUAAAGCGCACGUAGGCGGAUCGUUAAGUCGGGGGUGAAAUCCUGGAGCUCAACUCCAGAACUGCCUUCGAUACUGAUGAGCUUGAGUUCGGGAGAGGUGAGUGGAACUGCGAGUGUAGAGGUGAAAUUCGUAGAUAUUCGCAAGAACACCAGUGGCGAAGGCGGCUCACUGGCCCGAUACUGACGCUGAGGUGCGAAAGCGUGGGGAGCAAACAGG
rnacentral:rRNA from 1 species